rnacentral:rRNA from 1 species
UACGUAGGGCGCAAGCGUUGUCCGGAAUUAUUGGGCGUAAAGAGCUCGUAGGCGGCCUAUUGCGUCCGCUGUCGGAAAUCCCCAGGGCUUAACCCUGGGCCUGCAGUGGAUACGGGUAGGCUGGAGGCAGGCAGGGGAGAACGGAAUUCCCGGUGUAGCGGUGGAAAUGACGCAGAUAUCGGGAGGAACACCGGUGGCGAAGGCGGCGACCUGGUAGAUACUGACGCUGAGGUGCGAAAGCGAUGGGGGAGCAACAGGGAUUAAGAUG